rnacentral:rRNA from 1 species
ACGGAAGGCAGCAGUGGGGAAUAUUGCACAAUGGGCGAAAGCCUGAUGCAGCGACGCCGCGUGAGUGAAGAAGUAUUUCGGUAUGUAAAGCUCUAUCAGCAGGGAAGAAAAUGACGGUACCUGACUAAGAAGCCCCGGCUAACUACGUGCCAGCAGCCGCGGUAAUACGUAGGGGGCAAGCGUUAUCCGGAUUUACUGGGUGUAAAGGGAGUGUAGGUGGCAAGACAAGUCAGAAGUGAAACUCCGGGGCUCAACCCCGGAACUGCUUUUGAAACUGUCUAGCUUGAGUGCAGGAGAGGUAAGCGGAAUUCCUAGUGUAGCGGUGAAAUGCGUAGAUAUUAGGAGGAACACCAGUGGCGAAGGCGGCUUACUGGACUGUAACUGACACUGAGGCUCGAAAGCGUGGGGAGCAAACAGGAUUAGAUACCCUGGUA